AAAUAUGAAGCAAUAAUUUGCAAUUAGUUUCGGCCUAAUCUUAGAUGUUAAACCAUCCUUAUUUU
rnacentral:tRNA from 1 species